AAAUUUGGUCCAUCAAGUAUUCAUGUGCAUGUUUCAAAGCUUAAAACAUGCAUGUCUAAGUACAUGCCACAUUAAGACGAAACCGCACAUGGCGCAUUAAAUCAGUUAUAGUUCCUUGGAUCAUACGCUAUUAUUCGAACAACUGCAAACACAUACAGGAGAGCCCCGAUCUUCUGGCGACGAGUGCUUCUAUUAUACCAUAACCAGUCACAUGAUAUGUCCGGAUUAUGUGGUUGCUCUGUAUAAUUUUGGACUUAUCGUACGGACUCUUCCUGGUGACAUAUCUUUCAAGUGUUUACUGUCGAUGAUAGGUUACGCGCCCACAAUGGUCGUAACAGCUGACGAAGAAUCAGGGUUUGUUUCUUGAGAGGGAAUCUGAAAACGGUUAUCAGAUUUAAGGAAUGCAGCAGGUGUGUAAAUUACAUACUCCCAGAAUGAGUAGGCAGUGAUGAAAAAUCACCUGUACGGAACUCUUUUGAGACCCCGCAGCUGGAAUGAUUACUCUCUAAAUGCUUUAACAAUGAUUAAUUGUAGGACAAGUCUGGAUAUUCAGCAGCCGCGAAAACUCUAGCUGCAAUAGCGUAUAAUAAAGUUUUGCGGUUAAACAGCUUAUAGCUGAAUUAUGUUUCAGACGGGUGGUCUGCUUAGACGGGUGGUGGUGACUACUGCCUAUUCUAAAUAGCUAGUCGUUUCCUUUGAUUUUCUUCAUCGUUUAUCUUAACGUUAUUUAAUUGAGAGGCUAGGUUACGAUGAACAAAUCAAAGUGCUCAAAGCAGACGUUACGCCUGAAUAAUGGUGCGUGGCAGAAUUGAAUAGAACUUCGGUUUUGAGAAAGCAAAAACUUUAAAAACUGAAGGCCCGAAAGUACUAUUUCGAGACUAUGA
rnacentral:ncRNA from 1 species